AAGGGAGUUCUCUCAGUGGAAAAGAAAGUACCAUGGUUAGAAGUAGGAAAAUUAUGAAAGGAAAAAAAUCUCCUGUGUAAUAGCAAACAUACAGUAAAGGCAG